AUCCAGCUAACGAGUUCCAAACAGAACGAAAUGUGCAACCUGGAU
rfam:Schistosoma mattheei strain Denwood, Zambia genome assembly, scaffold: SMTD_scaffold0021910